rnacentral:rRNA from 1 species
AGGACGAACGCUGGCGGCGUGCUUAACACAUGCAAGUCGAGCGGUAAGGCCUUUCGGGGUACACGAGCGGCGAACGGGUGAGUAACACGUGGGUGAUCUGCCCUGCACUUCGGGAUAAGCCUGGGAAACUGGGUCUAAUACCGGAUAUGACCUCAGGUUGCAUGACUUGGGGUGGAAAGAUUUAUCGGUGCAGGAUGGGCCCGCGGCCUAUCAGCUUGUUGGUGGGGUAAUGGCCUACCAAGGCGACGACGGGUAGCCGACCUGAGAGGGUGACCGGCCACACUGGGACUGAGACGCGGCCCAGACUCCUACGGGAGGCAGCAGUGGGGAAUAUGCACAAUGGGCGAAAGCCUGAUGCAGCGACGCCGCGUGAGGAUGAAGGCCUGGUUGUAACUACUUCUAGCAGGACGAAGCGCAACGAGACGGUACCGUGCAGAAGAAAGCAACCGGCUAACUAACGACGCCACGUAGACCGC